CCCGCUCAGAAACUUAAAGGAAUUGACGGGGGCCCGCACAAGCGGAGGAGCAUGUGGUUUAAUUCGAUGAUACGCGAGGAACCUUACCUGGGCUCGAACGUAAGAUGACUGUAGGUGAAAGCUUACAUCUCUUCGGAGCAUUUUACGAGGUGCUGCAUGGUUGUCGUCAGCUCGUGCCGUGAGGUGUCGGGUUAAGUCCCAUAACGAGCGCAACCCCUACCUUUAGUUGCCAUCAGGUAAUGCUGGGGACUCUAAAGGAACUGCCUACGCAAGUAGUGAGGAAGGCGGGGAUGACGUCAAAUCAGCACGGCCCUUACGUCCAGGGCUACACACGUGCUACAAUGGCCGAUACAGAGGGCAGCUACCUGGUGACAGGAUGCAAAUCUCCAAAGUCGGUCUCAGUUCGGAUUGAAGUCUGCAACUCGACUUCAUGAAGCUGGAAUCGCUAGUAAUCGCAGAUCAGCCAAGCUGCGGUGAAUACGUUCCCGGGCCUU
rnacentral:rRNA from 1 species